rnacentral:rRNA from 1 species
AUUGAAUCUUCGGAGGAUUUGNUGGGCGUCGAGCGGCGGACGGGUGAGUAAUGCCUAGGAAAUUGCCUUGAUGUGGGGGAUAACCAUUGGAAACGAUGGCUAAUACCGCAUAAUGCCUACGGGCCAAAGAGGGGGACCUUCGGNCCUCUCGCGUCAAGAUAUGCCUAGGUGGGAUUAGCUAGUUGGUGAGGUAAUGGCUCACCAAGGCGACGAUCCCUAGCUGGUCUGAGAGGAUGAUCAGCCACACUGGAACUGAGACACGGUCCAGACUCCUACGGGAGGCAGCAGUGGGGAAUAUUGCACAAUGGGCGAAAGCCUGAUGCAGCCAUGCCGCGUGUAUGAAGAAGGCCUUCGGGUUGUAAAGUACUUUCAGUUGUGAGGAAGGGGGUAACGUUAAUAGCGUUAUCUCUUGACGUUAGCAACAGAAGAAGCACCGGCUAACUCCGUGCCAGCAGCCGCGGUAAUACGGAGGGUG